UGCUGGAUGUACAGCUAGGCUUUUCAACCUUCCCUUUACAUGGAGGUAGCAGGUGGUCUCAUCAACAGAUGAAAAGAACGUCUUUAAUCCCAGAACCAGGGAGGCAGAGAUCUGUGCAUCUCUAUGAGUUCAAGGCCACUCUGGUCUACAGAGGGAGUUCCAGGACAGCUAGAGCUAUUCAAAGAAACCCUGUUUCACACACACACACACACACACACACACACACACACACACACACACAAAUCUCUCACUGCUACUUUCCAGUAAAUUAAAGGCAAUUUGUUAAGAAUGCUAGCUACCUCUAGGUGGAGACAGGCCCUUGUCUCUUCACUUAGGGUUAAUCCACGAUGGUAAUGUCAGAGACCUGACUAAGGCACCAGGAACAAAUGGCUCAGGUGCCUAUUUAUCAUAUCAAAGCAAACCCUGGCUACCAGGUUCUUCCAGAAUCCCUCAGUCCCUUUGUGGUCCAGGGUGCUCCUUGCCAGCAGUACCCCACCCACUACCAUGAACAUUCCAGCUGAGGGGCUGGGCAGCCCUUCCCCCAGUGGCUCUUCCCUAUGCAAUUCAGCCAGUUUUGCUAUGCUGGUUCCUUUACCCCUUUUAACCCUUUCACCUUUUGACCUCUUUGCCUCUUGGUCUCCUGAUCUCCCCUUUCCUGUCUCCCUUCUUCUGCCAUAGCCAGGCUCAUGUUCACUCUGGCCUCUGGGAUGGCCCUGCUUCUGGCUAUGCUCUCCCUCAUAUCUAAAAUAAACUUCUCCUCCACCACACUAGAAGUAGUUAUAUGUUAAUCCCAAAGAUGGGAGGAGAAAUACAAAUCAUCAGGGCCAAAUUAAUUAAACAACCCAUUAAAGCUGUUUUAUUCAUGUACACAGGCUGCCUCCCCAUAAGGUGGGGUUUGCAAGGUCUGCAUGUGUGGAAGACAAAGUUUUUAUAGCUCAGGAAUAGGGGUUUUCCCAAUGGGGGUGUGGAAAUUGUCUAUAGGAAGUGGUACUGUUAGGAGGUGUGGCUUUGUUGUAAGAAGUGUACCAUCUGAGGGUGGGCUUUGAAGGUCUCCUCCUGUGCUCAGGUUCCACCCUUUUCGGAAGAGAGCUCCCUCCUAGCUGCCUGAGGAUGCCAGUCUCUCCUGGUUGCCUUUGAAUCAAGAUGCAGAACUUUCAACUCUUCCAGCCCCAAGUCUGCCUGGAUGCUGCCAUGCUUCAGGCUAUGAUGAUAAUGGACUGAACCUCUGAACCGCAGUCGUAUUAAGCAGUAAUUGCUAUUAAGUUAGCAGUAUCGGUGAGAUCAUCCUUCAUGAUCAAGCACACAGAGCAUGAAAACAGUGAGACUGAGGGCGGCAGAACUCUGUGACUCUCAGACAAGAACUGUGUUUACAUCUUUUUAAAUGCCACAUCCCUAUGAACUGUGAGUACAACAUGUCUCUAUUCUGCGGAUGAAAACACUGCGGCCCAGAUAGUAAUAUUUGUUUGGUGCCUUAGCUGAUGAGUGCAGAGAUAUAAAUGUAAAAUCUGUACUUACUGGUAAGUACAGAGUCUUCAAAUAAACUAAAUGCUAAUGAUAUGGAAAACUUGUGGUGAAAAUUGCUUUUAGAUAUAGUAAAUAAAAUGAUUUUAUAUACUUAUGAAAAAUGCUCCAUGAGAUUUUUUUUGGAUGGCUUUAAGGACAUUAAGGAUAAAUUAAGGAUUUGCUCUGAUUUACCCAGGCUUUUCAUUUUUUGCAUGUAAUAAUGCUCUUCGCAGGUCUGGGGAAGGGG
rnacentral:lncRNA from 1 species